GGGUGCAUGGUCUAGUGGUAUGAUUUCUGUUUUGCAAUGCCUCAGCUGCACUCACAUACAGAAGGUCCCGCGUUCGAUCCGCGGUGCAUCCA